rnacentral:rRNA from 1 species
UACGGAGGAUGCGAGCGUUAUCCGGAUUUAUUGGGUUUAAAGGGUGCGUAGGCGGUCCGUUAAGUCAGCGGUAAAAUUGCGGGGCUCAACCCCGUCGAGCCGUUGAAACUGGCAGACUUGAGUUGGCGAGAAGUACGCGGAAUGCGCGGUGUAGCGGUGAAAUGCAUAGAUAUCGCGCAGAACUCCGAUUGCGAAGGCAGCGUACCGGCGCCAGACUGACGUUGAGGCUCGAGAGCGUGGGGAGCAAACAGG